AUGACUCUCAUCACCAUCCUCAUCUGGACGCUGGCCUGCUGCUGUUUUACAGGAUGCAGCGGUCAGGUGACUGUGACUCAGCCUCCAGUAGAGACAUCUACUCCAGGAUCCACCGUCUCUCUCACCUGCAAGACCAGCCAAGCUGUUCAGAGAUGGUCUAGUGGAGCUGAGGAGAUGCACUGGUAUCAACAGAAAUCUGGACAGCCUCCAAAGCUCAUAAUAAGACAUGCGAUCACACGUGAAUCAGGAACAGCAGCUCGGUUUAGUGGCAGUGGAAGCAGCUCUGACUUCACUUUGACCAUCAGUGGAGUUCAGACUGAAGACGCAGCAGUUUAUUACUGUCAGAGUUACCACUACAUAAACAGUGCUGAUGUGUGGACUUUUGGUGGAGGAACCAAACUCAUCAUUAACUCUGGCACCAUGGUCAGGCCCUCAGUCUCUCUGCUUCCCCCCUCCUCUGAGCAGCUCUCUGGGGGCUCGGCCACGCUGGCCUGCCUGCUGACCGGCUACUCUCCUCAGGGAGCCGUGGUGAGCUGGCAGGUGGACGGUACGGAGGUGACGGAGGGGGUCCUGAGCAGCUCAGAGGAGGAGAAGAGCGGCCGCUACAGCAGCAGCAGCACCCUGAGCCUGAGCCAGGAGCGCUGGAUGGAAGGAGAGCUGUACUCCUGCAGGGUCCUCCAUCAGGGCCACAGCCAGACCCAGUCCCUCCACAGGAGCCAGUGUAAGGGCUAGAGGGGCCGGCUGAAGCCCAGGACAGGAGCUCUGUGUGGGGGGGAGCAGCUCUGAUCAAUAGCAGUUUGAAUGCUUGUAGAGGAAACUGAAGCUUUGUGUGACAGAGAACAACACUGCUGUAAAGUGUUGGACAACAACAACUUAGAGAGGAAUGUGUGUCGCUCAGCAGC